rnacentral:misc_RNA from 1 species
GAAAUGCGAUAGGCAAUGCGAAUUGCAGAAUUCCGCGAAUCAUCAGAUCUUUGAACGCAACUGGCGCCAUCCGGAUAUCCGGAUGGCAUGCUUGUUUCAGUGUCAUAUUUUUUAUACAAUAACUUAAUGUGAUUGAUAAAUCAUUAGUAUUUAUCUCUCAUGAAAUAAGAAUGUGCUUAUACAAUCAACACAACGAAGUAGUCACAUGUUGAUAUGUGAUCUCGUUGAUAUGUCGAUAGUAUAUAUAUGUUGUGCACAUAGAUUUGAUAAUUUACUUAUCAAAUUGUAUCUGAAAUCAAGCAAGAUCACCCGCUGAACUUAA